UCUUAUGCAAAAAAAAUACUUAAAAAUGCUGCAAAACCUCCGUGAUGUGCAUCAAACUUUUGCAGAAAUUGACAUUCAUUUCAUGGCUCUCAUGAUGUAACAGGAGGUAAUAUUAAAGGUUUAAUAACGACCAUUCUUUCUUUUUUGACAAUGCUACAAGAAGCUUGCUUGCAUUUGAAUUUUCCAAACAAAAACCGGAUCAUAAGAAACACUGAAUACUAGACUAAAAUCAAUUGAAUGGCAAUAAGAGAGGAAAAAUGCAAGAAGUAGAAUCAAUGCUUAAAAAAGAGAAAACUGCAAUAAUUCCAUGGGAAAAGAGUGCUUUUAAAGAAAAACCCCUUGACUUACACUUAAAUAUAAAUAUAAAACUGUGUGCCAGUAGGUAAAAUAAAUUGAAAUAAGAUAGAAUCAAUAUAAACAUCUCAGGUAGUUCACAGGACAAUAAAUAGUGGGAAAAGAGCCAAGUAGUUACUGGUGUCUACCAAGUUAAAUCAAAGGAUAGCAUAGACAAAGAUAGAUGCAAGAAAAUAAAAACGAGAAUAAACAUUAAUGCUUUAGAUAGGUGUCUAGAAAAUUUGCAUCAACAGCUUUGAAUUCAGGUGUGCUAAUCAUUGAUGCCUUCAAUCGAUCAAUCUUAUGCAGAGAGGAAUGCUUACCUAUGCUCCAAAACCUCAGUGAUUUACAACAAAGUUUUGCAUAAAUUGACAUUCAUUCCAUGGCCCUCAUGAAAUAAGAGGAAGUAAUGCAUAAAAUGUAAUAACUACCAUUCUUUCUUUUUGGAAAAUCCAACAAGAAAUUUGCUGGCAUUUGAAGUUUCCAAACAAUAAUCUGAUCACAAAAAACAUUUGAAACUAGACUAAAUUCAAUUGAAAGGCAAUAAGAAGGAAAUGCCAGAAGUAGAAUCAAUGUUUAGAACGGGGAAAACUGUAAUAAUUCCAUGAGAAAAAAGAAUUAAUUCUUUAGUUAUGUGUCUAGAAAAUUUGAAUCAAAUCCUUCGAAUUCAGGUGUUCUGAUCAUUGUUGCAUUCAAUUCGAUCAAUCUUAUGCAAGGAGAAA